rnacentral:rRNA from 1 species
CCUACGGGGGGCUGCAGUGGGGAAUAUUGGACAAUGGGGGCAACCCUGAUCCAGCCAUGCCGCGUGUGUGAAGAAGGCCCUCGGGUUGUAAAGCACUUUCAGUGAGGAAGAACGCCUGGUGGUUAAUACCCAUCAGGAAAGACAUCACUCACAGAAGAAGCACCGGCUAACUCCGUGCCAGCAGCCGCGGUAAUACGGAGGGUGCGAGCGUUAAUCGGAAUUACUGGGCGUAAAGCGCGCGUAGGUGGCUUGAUAAGCCGGUUGUGAAAGCCCCGGGCUCAACCUGGGAACGGCAUCCGGAGCUGUCAAGCUAGAGUGCAGGAGAGGAAGGUAGAAUUCCCGGUGUAGCGGUGAAAUGCGUAGAGAUCGGGAGGAAUACCAGUGGCGAAGGCGGCCUUCUGGACUGACACUGACACUGAGGUGCGAAAGCGUGGGUAGCAAACAGGAUUAGAUACCCCAGUAGUC